rnacentral:tRNA from 1 species
GAAAUAAUACUUUAUAUAGAAGGUCUAGUUUGCAUCUAGAGAGAAAUUAUGUUUUAUUUCA